CUAAAUUUCGUUAAGUUUGAGACUAAAUUUCUCAAUCAAUGGAUUCAGUUUCUUCACUCUCAACGUCUCUUUUUUGCUGGAGAGAGUUCAGAUGUGCAACCAACCGGAUUUCACAAAAAUAUGACUAUUAAGGCCACAGGUGGUGGAGCAUAUAAAUAUGCUGAUGUUUUCAGAGAUAGACUCGACAUUACUUUUGAUAUAGUGGAUGAAAUAGCU